AAGCCUGUGGGUUAUCACGGUAUAUAUUUGCCUGCAUGGCUACAAGAGACUCAAAAGACUUGGUUUGGCGAGACAGGAGUCUCAUCAUCUGCCUGGCUAUUCUUUUGGCAGACAAUUCCUGUCUCCUGCUUUCAGUCAGCCUCCAUUCCUGUACACUUUUUCUCCACUCCUCAGUCUUCCUACUUUCCCUGUUGUAGUGGUUCAGAACGGUCUUGAUCAGCUCCUCUUUUGAUUUCCUAGGAUUGCGCCUCAAAUUCUGCAAUCUACGUGAGGCCGGUGACACAGCCGCAUUACUCGAGUUGUCUAGAAAAAAUAGAGAUAGAGACAUGUAAUACACAGGGGCAUCAUUGUUUAUUAUCAACUUUUGAAGGACAUUGGAAACUGUAGGUAGCAUCCCUCUCACAUACCUCACAUAACACUGUAGAGUUCAAGAAAGCUAAGACAUGUCUAGCAAUGGGGUGAGUACUUUUGCUUAAAAUUCUCCCAUGUUAGUGGGAUGCCUUGGUUCCUGCUUGGAAGGGGGGAUCGGUGAGGAAGAAGCACCCCGCAGGACACGGUUCCCGCUUGGAAGGGGGGGUGGGGGACGGACAGAGCACACCGCAGGGCAGGUUUCCCGCUUGGAAGGGGGGGUGGGGGACGGACAGAGCACACCGCAGGGCAGGUUUCCCGCUUGGAAGGGGGGGUGGGGGACGGACAGAGCACACCGCAGGGCAGGUUUCCCGCUUGGAAGGGGGGAUCGGUGAGGAAGAAGCACCCCGCAGGACACGGUUCCCGCUUGGAAGGGGGGGUGGGGGACGGACAGAGCACACCGCAGGGCAGGUUUCCCGCUUGGAAGGGGGGAUCGGUGAGGAAGAAGCACCCCGCAGGACACGGUUCCCGCUUGGAAGGGGGGGUGGGGGACGGACAGAGCACACCGCAGGGCAGGUUUCCCGCUUGGAAGGGGGGGUGGGGGACGGACAGAGCACACCGCAGGGCAGGUUUCCCGCUUGGAAGGGGGGGUGGGGGACGGACAGAGCACACCGCAGGGCAGGUUUCUCGCUUGGAAGGGGGGGUGGGGGACGGACAGAGCACACCGCAGGGCAGGUUUCACGCUUGGAAGGGGGGGUGGGGGA